rnacentral:rRNA from 1 species
CCCUUAGAUGUUCUGGGAUGCAUGCGCGUUACACUGAUUCGUUCAACGAGUUUAUGACCUUGCCUGAUGAGGUGGGGGAAUCUUUUCAAAUCGCAUCGUGAUGGGGAUAGAGUAUUGUAACUGUUAGUCUUCAACGAGGAAUUCCUAGUAAGUACGUGUCAUCAGCUCGUACUGAUUAUGUCCCUGCCCUUUGUACACACCGCCCGUCGCUCCUACCGAUUGAGUGCUCAGGUGAAUAGUAUGGACUGCAUCAGUGUUCGGUCUCCGAAUGUUGACGCGAGAAAUUCUGUGAAUCUUAUUGCUUAGAGGAAGGAGAAGUCGUAACA